rnacentral:sRNA from 2 species
CUGAAGGGCGGGCCAUUCUGGAUGAGAGCCUGAGAGGUUCGAGCCGAGCACACAGUGCGAGACAACGUCGACGGAACGGCGACGACCCGAAGGGAGAGCGACGCGAAUCAUCCUGAAGGGCGGGCCA